GACGAACGCUGGCGGCGUGCUUAACACAUGCAAGUCGAACGAAAAGAGGGAAAGAGCUUGCUCUUUCCGGAAUUGAGUGGCAAACGGGUGAGUAACACGUAAACAACCUGCCUUCAGGAUGGGGACAACAGACGGAAACGACUGCUAAUACCGAAUAAGUUCCAAGAGCCGCAUGGCCCAUGGAAGAAAAGGUGGCCUCUACCUGUAAGCUAUCGCCUGAAGAGGGGUUUGCGUCUGAUUAGCUGGUUGGAGGGGUAACGGCCCACCAAGGCGACGAUCAGUAGCCGGUCUGAGAGGAUGAACGGCCACACUGGAACUGAGACACGGUCCAGACUCCUACGGGAGGCAGCAGUGGGGAAUCUUCCGCAAUGGGCGAAAGCCUGACGGAGCAACGCCGCGUGAGUGAUGACGGCCUCGGGUUGUAAAC
rnacentral:rRNA from 1 species